rnacentral:rRNA from 1 species
UACAGAGGGGGCGAGCGUUGUUCGGAAUUACUGGGCGUAAAGGGCGCGUAGGCGGUUGUUCAAGUCAGGUGUGAAAGCCUUGAGCUCAACUCAAGAAAUGCACUUGAUACUGGAUGACUAGAGGACCGGAGAGGAUAGUGGAAUUCCCAGUGUAGUGGUGAAAUACGUAGAGAUUGGGAAGAACACCAGUGGCGAAGGCGGCUAUCUGGACGGUUUCUGACGCUAAGACGCGAAAGCGUGGGGAGCAAACAGG